rnacentral:lncRNA from 1 species
UCUGCCACAAAUGUCCAGUCACGGGGUUGUAUUGUAGUUGCCUGUCUAGUUUUACAAGAAUCUGUGAAACUGUUUUCCAGAGUGACUGUCCCAUGUUUUAUGCUCCCAAUAGUGGGGAAUGGAUCCAGUUUAAUCUGCAUCCUCUCCAGUCUUUGGCAUGGUUCCUGUUUUUUAUUGUGGCUAUUUUGACAGGCGUGGAGUGAUAUCUCAUUGUGGUUUUAAAUUUCCUUUCCUCAAUGGCUAAUGACGAAUAUUCUUUCACAACAGUCUUUUGCAGAUGGUAUAAUUUAAAAGCUGGAAAGAACCGGGCAGACCCAUUUCAAUGAUUGAGCCCACAAUUAAUGUAUUUGGAUGAGAGAGUGGCCCCAGGAGUCAGAGGGAGAGCACUUUGUGCUGAACUCAGCCCUCUUAAUCCCAGCAGUGAUAUUUACAGCAGACCCCAUCUCUAGGACGCGUCAGGGCCGAUUUGUUUGCUCUGAUUUGGUGGUCAGGCUGAUUAAGAAUGUAUGUAAGUCAGAGUUCCCUUGUGGUGCAGUGGGUUAAGGAUCUGACAUUGUAACUGCAGGGACUCAGAUCAGUCAAAUGGGGAUUCAGACAAAAAGGGACUCAACCUAUGACGCAGGUUUGAUCAGUCCUUGGCCUGGGAACUUCUACUUUUCAUGGGCACUACCAAAAAAAAAGAAGGUAUAUAAGUCACCCAGUGACUGCAACUGUGUUGCAUUUAGCACCUAUCUGUUAUUCCCUAAGAACUCGAUAAAUAACUGAAUUUAUAUCUGUAUCUAUGUCUGUUAUCUCGCCUUAACGUUGGAGCUAACAUUUUUCCUUUCUUUAAAGUAGGCAUAAUAGAAAUUUAUUAUUAUGCUCUUAUUUCAGAGCAGGAAAUAAAUAAAGAAAAUGGUUUUUAAAUAUUUUCCAAAAUAGAGAAAGCGGGAAAAAGAAAAAAUAUGUCUGUUCAGUCUAUCCUGUGGGGCUUACUACAUGUUACUAGGGUUAGUAACUCCUUGUGGCCCAGGAGUUCAUCCUUCUGAUUUGCAGAUGAGGAAACAGGAGCUCACAGCCCUGAAGCUCCCUCACUUUUGGAGCUGCGCAGGAGGGAUUCAGAGGAGAAGGGACUGAGCAGGGAGCCCAGUGUCUCUGACUGAGCUUAGGGCCUGCCAUGUUCACAUACAGGACAGGAGCCCCAGAAGCUGAGGUCUCUGUUUACCGCGAAGACCUUUGGGGGGGGUGGGGGGAGGUGAAGGCAGCUGGGAAAUUGCAGACAUUCCUGGGGGUCUUCAACAUGUGCAUGGAUAGUUUAACUCCUAGCCCAGUUCAUAACUUGUUCUGCUUUGCAGAGAGACCAGCUAUUUUACAUAAAAAUGCCCAGGAAUCUGAUGAGCACAUCCAAAGCCCAUCACCACUCUGGCCCCAGGCUGUGCAGAUCCGGAUUGUAGCCGGAAUAAAGCAAUAGCCAGAAUAUGCUUAAGACCAAAAGAAAGGGGUAUACAAGGUAUGAAUCUGAUUCAGAAAGAAGGGGCUUCGAAGUUAGGAGAUGUGCACUGCAGGGAGAGAAGCAAGCUCUGGCCCUGGAUGGGGUUGGGAGGAUGCUGAGAAGAUAAAGUUCCAGCCUCUGGAGCUUCCCGAAAUACAUUACAGAAGCAGCAACAACCCAGGUGAAGUGAAGGGCUGCCAGAGGCUCAGGGAGAUGUAUGUCCUUGCUUGGGGUCACUGAACGAUGUGAUUUUGAGUAUCUGUAUAUGACAGUGACAAGAGUCAGGAGCCAGUGCAGACUUUCUCAGGGUGCUUGCUGCUGAAGGAGAUGGGAUGAGCCUCAGAGAAUCACCCUCCAUUACUAUCUUCCUGAAGAAAGCAGGGCAGCAAAGCUGUUCUUCCGCACAAUUCACUCCCUAAAACAAUUAUGUUUGUUCCUUGAUGUCCUGAAGCAAAAGUAGCCGAUGUAAUAGCAACUGGAAAAGAAAAAAAUUAACUGGUACGAUGACUGAUUUAUAGCUUCAUCAUUACAUAAAUUAUAACGAGAGACAUAGGGAAUGGCUUUUUGGAAGCACUGCCUGCUGCAGAAGGGCAAAGCCUUUGCUUCUUUCCAGCUAUUGUUAAAUUGGCUAAAAAUAAGGUCUGUGAAAUAUGUAAACAUCACCCACCUACCCCCAGUGUGGAAACUGUGAAUUAUUCAGAUACUAGCUCUAGAUAGAUAGAAAAGAGUCGGAUGUUGGCCUAAGGCCUUACGUUCCUGUCGGUGACAGGCUCUGAGCUUGUCAAAACGGCUCCUCAAUCACCUUGUUAAUGGUAUGGUACUUCAGUGACUGAACCGGCUGCAUAAUUAGAAGCAUUCUCCUCUGGCUGGAAAGAAAAACUGCCAUGCUCUCUAAGAGAAAGAAAACCGACUAGUUAUGCCAGAUUAUAUAAUUGAAGACACUGCAGAAGGAACCCUUUAAAAAAUGGGAAGGUGCAUUCAUUUGGGCUACUCCAGCAGAGGCGCACUGCUGUUCCUUUAACUCCCAGCCAAGUCUCAUCGCUGUUGUGUCAGUGAACCCAGUGCAGCCCAAAGGAUGACAGGACAGAGUCACUGGCAACCUGAAUGCGUGGGGUCUCUUUGCAUUUGCCUGGUCACAUCUUGGGCUAACCAGUCCAGCAAGAGGUGAACAUUUCUGCUUUUAUCAUUGGUAUAAGCCCAGUUCUUUUUUUUUUUUAAACCCUCAUCUCUCUUUGUUCUUUAAACAACAAAAAUCUGGUGGUAGGUUCCUCUGACCUCAUGGAGUCCAAAACCGUCUCUCUUUCUCCCUUGUUCUUUCUCUCUCUGGCCAUUCCUUUAUUUUCCUUCCCCUUUUCUCUUUCAUCUGACUUCUCCACCCAAAAAGCCAAGGGAAGUGAGGUAACAAUAACUUUGUUGCAUUUCACCUGGCCCACCCAGAGAAAGCUAUUUCUAGGCAAUGCGGAAAACCCAAACCUUGCGGAACUCAGCUGGCCCUCUAAUCUAACAACCUCUGUGUGCUGCAAAGCCUAAUGUUUAAUUUGAAAAACAAUCCGAAAAUAGCAUGAAAGGAAACGUGGAAUUUGCAUAGCUAUAUAUAUGUUUAAGAUAGUCGUUUUCCAAAACACUGUGUUUGAGAGCUGGCCCUUUACUUGAAGUUGCCUGAAAUUCAUGGACUCCUCCGAGAUAAGGAGUGUAAUUUUCACUUGAGUGAUGGUUGAUUUUCUCUCCUGUCCUCUUGAUACUAAGGAGACUCAUCUCAAACCCUAUCCCACCGGAAAGCUGAAUGCUGACACUGAGAACUGUUUGCUGACUAAAACUAAAGUAACAGCAACAAUGAAGAUAUGGCCAUUUCUAUUUAAUGUUGGGUUGUCAGACUUUGGAGUUUUUAAUAAAAUCUUCUUGUUUUCUCUUUCUUUCCCUUUAUUUCUAUCUUCUUUUUCUCUUUUAUUUUCUUGCCAUUUUGUUGGUCUUUUUCUUUCCUUUUUUUUUUUAAGUACUUUUCUGUAUCUUUUUUUUUUUUUCUUUCAAAGUUUAAAUUGCACUAACACCUGACUUUUUGUAUGCAAAGCGUUGGUUUGGUUUAUUCUGUCUGCCUGCAGAUGGACUUUUUUCACGACAAGUUCUUUGGAGGCUGACUUCUAUUUGCAAAACUCUAAAUUUAAUAGCCAGAGAAGAAUAACAAAAAUCUCUAUCGUUUCAGUUUCCAAGGAUUCAUUCAUAGUCAAUUUGCCUUUUAAAACAAUCUUACUGACAAGUGCAUAAGCUUCUCAUUUAGAAAGGGUUGCUCUACAGGUCAAGGUGCAGGACCUAGAGGGUGCAGAACCCAUGGGGUGAAAACAUUUAAGGAAGAUUUAUAACUAGUGUGUAGAUCUUUACAAAAGGGAUUCUUAUCUUGAUAUGCAUCAGUGGAUCCAUGGGUAGAAGUUAGGGUGUCCAUGGACUGAGAAAGAAAAAAAAUUACUUCUUUGUUUCCUAUGCUUUAGUCGAAAUGUAGGUUAUCAAUAGGAACAAAACCCCAGGACCCACCACUAGAUUUUUUUUGUUGUUGUUCUUUUUGCCAUUUCUUGGGCCGCUCCUGUGACAUAUGGAGGUUCCCAGGCUAGGGGUCCAAUCAGAGCUGUAGCCACCAGCCUACACCAGAGCCACAGCAAUGUGGGAUCCUUAACCCACUGAGCAAGGCCAGGGAUCGAACCUGCCACCUCAUGGUUCCUAGUCGGAUUCGUUAACCACUGAGCCGCUAUGGGAACUCCCCACCGCUAGAUCUUUCUCUUUAACGUUUUAUUUAUAUAUUUAUUUUUAUUUUAUUUUUAGGGCUGCGCCUGCUGUGUAUCAAGUUUCCUGGGCCAGGGAUCAAAUCUGAGCUGCAGCUGUGACUUAUGCUGCAGCUGCUCUGGCAACAUUGCAUCUUUUAAUCACUGCUUCAGGCUGGAGAGCAAAUCAUGCCUCUGCAGUGAUCUGAGCCGCUGCAGUAGGAUUCUUAACCCACUGAAACACAGGGGAACUCCUUUAACAAGAGGAGAGCACAUACAUUCUUUUAACACAAUUACAAAUCUUAUUAUAACUAUUUCAAUAUAAUUGUUUUCCUUAGUAAUCCUAUGCAUUUUAUUUGAUGCAUUCAAAAAUUACUGCUAGAUGGAGUUCCCUUUGUGGCUCAGUGGUUAACGAAUCCAACUAGGAACCAUGAGGUUGUGGGUUCAAUCCCUGGCCUUGCUCAGUGGGUUAAGGAUCCAGUGUUGCUGUGAGCUGUGGUGUAGGUCAUAGACAUGGCUAGAUCCCACAUUGCUGUGGCUCUGGCAUAGUCUGGUGGCUACAGCUCUGAUUAGACCCCUAUCCUGGGAACCUCCAUAUGCCGCAGAAGCCGCCCUAGAAAUG